rnacentral:rRNA from 1 species
GACGAACGCUGGCGGCGUGCUUAACACAUGCGAGUCGAACGGAAAGGCCCUGCUUUUGUGGGGUGCUCGAGUGGCGAACGGGUGAGUAACACGUGAGUAACCUGCCCUUGACUUUGGGAUAACUUCAGGAAACUGGGGCUAAUACCGGAUAGGAGCUCCUGCUGCAUGGUGGGGGUUGGAAAGUUUCGGCGGUUGGGGAUGGACUCGCGGCUUAUCAGCUUGUUGGUGGGGUAGUGGCUUACCAAGGCUUUGACGGGUAGCCGGCCUGAGAGGGUGACCGGCCACAUUGGGACUGAGAGACGGCCCAGACUCGUACGGGAGGCAGCAGUGGGGAAUAUUGCACAAUGGGCGGAAGCCUGAUGCGGCAACGCCGCGUGCGGGAUGACGGCCUUCGGGUUGUAAACCGCUUUCGCCUGUGACGAAGCGUGAGUGACGGUAAUGGGUAAAGAAGCACCGGCUAACUACGUG